rnacentral:rRNA from 1 species
GAAAAGGGGGGGGCAGGAGCGGCGGGAGGAGGGAGGGGGAAAGGGGGAAGAGGGAGUAGUGGGCGUGAAGCGGGGGGCGGCGGGGUGGUAAGACAGGGGUGAAAGUCCCGGGCGGAACCUGGGAACGGCAUUGGUGACUGCAAGGCUGGAGUGCGGCAGAGGGGGGUGGAAGUCCGCGUGUAGCAGUGAAAUGCGUAGAUAUGCGGAGGAACACCGAUGGCGAAGGCAAUCCCCUGGGCCUGAACUGACGCUCAUGCACGAAAGCGUGGGGAGCAAACAGGAUUAGAUACCCCUGUAGUC